ACGUCUGGAGUAAUGGCGAAGCAACACCUUAACUUUUACUUCUGCAAUUCUAUUUUUUUAAGAAAAUUAUACAGUCAAACUUGUAUUAAGCGGACACCCUCGGCGAACGGACUAGCGUCCGCUUAAUGGAGGUGUCCGUUUAACAGAGGUACUCGUCACCAAGCCUCUCUCCGUUGAAAAUAACAUAAAUGGUAAGAUCAACAACUAAACGGUGCAGAUAAGGUUGUAGAUGAGUGUAGGGGAAAUGCUGAGGCUAAAAAAUAGUUAUAGGGGAAAUGAAUUUGUCCAAAAAACAUCAAACACAAAAUUAACAAUGAGUGCUGCCACAUGUAGGCGAACUACUCCAAGUUAUUUUUGUUUCAACUAUCUAUAUGUUUCCUCUUCAACAAUGUACAAAUGUUCAUUUUCAAUGUCAGAUCAAUAUCAAAUUUCAGGGACAUUCUUUUCAAAAUGUAAAAACUAAAGAUUUCGAUAAAAUGAAAGCUAUGAAAUAAAAUGUUCCGUUUCACCUUUGCACGAAGAAUGAAACUGAUAUACAGGCACUACAAGUCGUGAUCGAUGAUGAAAGAAUUGCAUAAUUCCAAUUUACUUCUGUUCAUUUCCCAUGCCUUUUGUUAACAAAUCACAUUUAACUUUUUACACGCGCGCGUCCAGUUCCCUUCUUAGGCCUGGAAACUACGUAUUUCCCCGGUCAUUGAGACAAAACGUUCCCUCUUUAAGUCUAGACGCAAUCAAAAGAGCUGAAAUAUCUUCAAUUUCACUAAGCGACGCACAUUUAAACGAAACACACAUUCAUUUAAUCUGGCUUUAAAGUAUUCAGCAUCAGCACAAUUAACGGAGAUUAAUUACACAUAUUUGGGAAGAGUUUUGUAGCUGAGCGAAGGGGAAAUUAGCUUAAGUCAACAAAAGAAUCAAAGUCUAAAUUAACAUAGUCAAAUACCGGUGGAGAUUUUUACCCAUUGAGAGUUAUAUGAAACACAUGAAUAUUGAAUACAUAAUUUCAUUUUGGAGUAGCCAUUGGGAGGAAAGAAGAUGUUGAUGGGUGUGAGAGUACAUAAAUGAAGUAUAUGUUACCAAAAGGUACACCAUCAAGAAGCCUAGCACUCAUCAGUUCGCGAGGAAAACGUUAGGAAAACUAACACGAACAAUUCGAGAUGAAUACAUCGCUACUGGCAUCGUUCUUGUUGAUAUUUUAUCCUUUGUCUGUUGAUUCAGCAUCUUGAUUCAAAGAUGAACCUUCAUCAGUGGAAGAAACACUCAAAAGAAUAAUUGACCAAAAUUACGCUUUCCUCCUUGCUGGACAGCCUCAAAAGGCGUUGAAAUUCUACACUCGUGACUGUGUAUUGAUUGGGCAAGGUGCAGAGCCAGUUGUAGGCAAAGCGGCAUUAUGAAAGUAUUUCAAAGCAACAACAUCAGGGCCACAAACUGUUAGCUGGAACGGCGUUCACAUUGAUGAAAUUUUUGAUAAAGAAAACAUCGUGACUCUUAGAUACACUCUGACACCACAUGCAAAGGAUGGUGGAGUCUUUCUUCAUUCUCGAGAAAUCAUCGUUUGGAAAAAGAUCAAGGGUAAAUACUUGAUUCACAAUCUUAUUUCAAAUGUGCUAGAGAACCUCUGUCCUUCGACGUCAUGAUUGGAGUAGAGAAGAUACUACAUGUAUAUAUCUAUUAUGUCAGAAUUUCGCAAAUAAAAUGAGCCAUAAAAACAA